GCGGGGCAGAGAAUGCAGUUGGAACAUGUGACUUCUGAGCGAUUCGUUUGAGAUUGUGUGCCACCUUAUGAAUGUGGGGGAUGACCACUUUCUUCUUCGUGUUAAUUGGUCGCGCCUCAGGUGGUCGCACCAGUUUUUUGAGCAGACCUUCAGCUACUGAAAUUUGCAAAUGCAUCGGAUAGCCCGCUAGAGAUAAGCGCUCAGAUUGGAGCUGCACUGCUUCUAUCAUUAGAGGCACAUGACUUUGACACAGCAUUUCUGAAACAAAAACAAGCCACACUUCUUUUCACCAAUUUGGAGUGAGCUGACUGAAAAGGCAGUAGCGGUUUACCGGCCCUAGGAUCAUACCGCCAACAUACGUGCUCAGCACCAAAAUUCAACAACAAAUCAAGAAAGCGCAGUUUUCCAUCAACCGGAAGUUCAUGGGUAAUGUUUAAAGGAUUGAAGCAAUCCCGAGUCAUAUGAAGAAUGUCAGCAACAUCUGAUUCAAGUGAGGC
rnacentral:lncRNA from 1 species